rnacentral:ncRNA from 1 species
GUAGCAUAAUCACUUGUCUCUUAAUUGGGGACUAGUAUGAAUGGCACCACGAGGGUUCAACUGUCUCUUACUCCCAAUCAGUGAAAUUGACCUUCCCGUGCAGAGGCGGGGAUAAUUAUACAAGACGAGAAGACCCUGUGGAGCUUAAGUCGUAUAACUCAACAAAUACUAAUAUUUAACCUAUUGGAAUAACAUGUAUAAUCUAUGAGUUAUAGUCUUUGGUUGGGGUGACCUCGGAGCAUAAAAGAACCUCCGAAUGAAUAAAACCAAGAUUAACAAAUCUAAGUGUAAUAUUACCAGUAAUUGACCCAUAUUUUGAUCAACGGAACAAGUUACCCCAGGGAUAACAGCGCAAUCCUAUUUGAGAGCCCAUAUCGAAAACAGGGUUUACGACCUCGAUGUUGGAUCAGGACAUCCAAAUGGUGCAACCGCUAUUAAAGGUUCGUUUGUUCAACGAUUAAAGUCCUACGUGAUCUGAGUUCAGACCGGAGAAAUCCAGGUCGGUUUCUAUCUGUAAAUUCAUUUCUCCCAGUACGAAAGGACAAGAGAAAUAGGGCCAAUAUCCAUAAUAAGCCCUAGAAUUAAUAUAUGAAUUUAUCUAAAUAUACUAAAUCAACCCAUAUACCCCCAAGAACAGGGCUAUUAGAUGGCAGAGCCGG